UGGAUCAUUGAUGACCAGAAAAAAAUCAUCUGGGAGUCCUCUGAGACAUCCAUGAUGACAAAAACAUUGGGAGUCUGAGGUCCAC
ensembl:snoRNA LOC120093351 small nucleolar RNA SNORD113/SNORD114 family